UUUUUUUUUUUUUUUUUUUUUUUUUUUUUUGGCCACAUCUGUGGCACAUGGAAGUUCCCAGGCUAGGGAGGUUGAAUAGGAGCUACAGUGGCCAGCCUAGGCCACAGCCACAGCAGCGAGGGAUCCGAGCCAUGUCUGUGACCUAUAGCACAGCUCAUAGCAAUGCUGGAUCCUUAACCCACUGAGCAAGGCCAGGGAUUGAACUCAUUUCCUCAUGGAUACUAGUUGGUUUUGUUACUGCUGAGCCAUAACAGGAACUCUACCCCCCUUUUUUUUUUUUUGAAUCUUUAUGGUUUUCUUAUUUUCCUAAGCUCUACAACAGUUAAAACAGCAAGAGAUAUUUAUAUACUCAUGUCCACAGAAGCACUAUUCACACUAGCCAAGAAGGAGAGUGUAAACUGACAGAUGAAUGGAUAAAGAAAAUGUGGCAUACAUACAAUGGAAUAUUAUUCAGCCUUAGAAAAGGACAUUUUGACACAUUUUACAACAUAAAUGAGCCCUGACAGCAUUAUGCCAAGUAAAACAAGCCAGUCACAAAAAGACAAAUUCUGCAUGAGUCCACUUAUAUGAAGUAUCUAAAGAAGUACUGAGAUAGAAAAUAGAAGGCUGGGAGUUCCCGUCGUGGCGCAUAAUAUAUGCUUUAAUAUUUCUUUCCUUCCUCCUGGCUUUCCUACCAUAUCUUGUUUUUUGUUUUUUUUUAAUUUGAGCCGAAUACUUAUUUCAUAUCUCUGAUUCUUUCUUAUUAAAUAAUUAAAGCACUUAAGGUUCUAAAUUUCCUUCUCUAAACAAUUCGUAGAAAGUCCAGGAGUGGGUUUUUUGUUUGUUUAAAAAGAAUUUUUUAAAAUUAUAGUUGAUUCCUAAUGUAUCAAUUUCUGUUGUACAGCGAAGUGACUCUACUCUCUCUCUCUCUCUCUCUCUCUCUCUCUCACACACACACACACACACAUUUUUCUUCUUUAGCAACAGAGAUAUGAACGGUUUAAUGGAUGGGGGAGUUUACAUGUCUGACAUCCCAAUGUGUGUGGCAGACAGAGGGCAGGACAUGGUGGCAGACUUCACUUCAGGGGGAGGGGAGAUUGCCAGUUAUAGGGAGAAUUACAUCAUGUUGGCUCAUUAGUUACCAGGGAAACCAGUGAGGAGCAUGCCUUUUUGAUAAGCUAUCACUAGCUGGGGCCUGGGGUAAGUACGUAGGAAGAUUAGCCAUGUGCACAGGGGUAUAAGUGAAGCAGGCACUAGUCAAGUAGGGGAUGUCCAGAGAACAAGAGAACAGCCAUCUUGAGUGGCCUAAUCAUACAUUCCACCCUACAUAACCCGCACGACCCUUACAGGCUUGGUCCGUCCCUCUUCUGCAAUAUCCCUGGGGUCAGGUAUGCAGAGGGGCACUGCAACCAGAUACCACAAAUGCAAUACAGAUGGGGGUAUGGCCACCCUAGAUUAAGUUGAGUGCCAUUAGGGGUGGACCCAUUAGGUCUUUCCAAACAAAAACAGUUAAUCCCACUCAUUGGACUGUGUGUCCAGAUGCCAGCCUAUUCCAUUCCACACAGUGUAGCCGGGGGGGCUUAUGGGCAGUCAGUUGUACAGUAACGUUCACUGAUGGGGGUCUUUCUGAUGUACUGACAUGUGAGACAAGAAGGGGGUGAGAGUACUCCUCCCCCACUGGCAGUAGUCCCCACAGAGUCACAUUAGCUGGGUCAAGUUUUCAUGCAAAUCCAGAGGAGGACAACAAUGGCAUCUUGCCGUAGAUCUAGCAAUUAGACUCUCUUCGCAGUAAGGCCAGUGUUGUUGCUCCGUCCUU
rnacentral:lncRNA from 1 species